rnacentral:tRNA from 1 species
GGUCUCGUGGUGAAGCGGUUAUCACGCCUGCUUUACACGCAGGAGGCCGCCGGUGCGAUCCCGGCCGAGAUCA